rnacentral:tRNA from 6 species
GCAGGUAUAGUUCACCGGUAGAACGGCAGCUUCCCAAGCUGCAUAAGCGGGUUCGACUCCCGUUACCUGCUCCA